AGACUGUAUCCCUGGCCCUAGAGAGAGAAGGGCUACAUGGAGGGUUGCAGUGAGCCUCUGAAGCUAGCAUAAACAGCCUGGAACCGUGGGACUCAUGGGGACAAGGUUGGAGCUCUGCCACACAGGACAUAAAUAACGUUAGCACAGGGCCAUACUUAAAAAGUUUGGCUUAGACUUCCCAGUUCCUUUGGGCUAGAAAUGUAAUGAGUGAUCCAGUACUACAUUUCUUUGCCAGUGAGGAGAGUUGUUGCUUCCUGGUUUGGGCUGAGAUCAGAAUCAGAAAUACUGCAGGAAGUGCAGAAGGGCAUAAGAACCUCUGCUACUAUUUUAAUGUGACAUUAGCAAUUGGGAAAAGUACCAGACUCUCAGCCUUGGAGACCGAUUCCUAUUUAUCUACAGAACAAGCAUUCUUCUCCCCACUGCCUUAGCGCUGCCUCAGCCCUGACCUGGAGGGACAUCUUAGUGAGAGAGCUAGCUGAGACUUCAUGCCUAUUCAGGCCUGGUGAUAUGAAUUCCUGCAUGCUUGGAAUCUGGACCAAGAACACCCAACUCUAAGCACCAACACCGUCAAAGAGCCAUCAGCUUGUAGCAACUAGUGGUCACUGUUGACCUGUUUUGAAUUAUGCUUCUGGUGGUAGCAUGGUGCUUCUUCUAAUGGGAGAUGCAAGUUCAGCCACCCUGCUUGCCUCGCCAUACAGGAAAGGGACAUCAAUUAGUGUGAAGAUCUGCUCUUCUACAGAAAUUGUUAUA